AACGAACGCUGGCGGCAGGCUUAACACAUGCAAGUCGAACGCCCCGCAAGGGGAGUGGCAGACGGGUGAGUAACGCGUGGGAAUCUACCGUGCCCUCUCGGAAUAGCUCCGGGAAACUGGAAUUAAUACCGCAUACGCCCUACGGGGGAAAGAUUUAUCGGGGUAUGAUGAGCCCGCGUUGGAUUAGCUAGUUGGUGGGGUAAAGGCCUACCAAGGCGACGAUCCAUAGCUGGUCUGAGAGGAUGAUCAGCCACAUUGGGACUGAGACACGGCCCAAACUCCUACGGGAGGCAGCAGUGGGGAAUUAUUGGAC
rnacentral:rRNA from 1 species